UACGUAGGGUGCGAGCGUUGUCCGGAAUUACUGGGCGUAAAGAGCUCGUAGGUGGUUUGUCGCGUUGUCCGUGAAAACUCACAACUCAAUUGUGGGCGUGCGGGCGAUACGGGCAGACUGGAGUACUGCAGGGGAGACUGGAAUUCCUGGUGUAGCAGUGGAAUGCGCAGAUAUCAGGAGGAACACCGGUGGCGAAGGCGGGUCUCUGGGCAGUAACUGACGCUGAGGAGCGAAAGCGUGGGGAGCGAACAGG
rnacentral:rRNA from 1 species